CCAGGAGCUCAGUCAUACAGGCCUUGUCCCAGGCACAGAGUCAGUGCAGGGCCAGGAAUGAACCUAGGCUUUCUGAGCCUCAGCUUUCUGUCUGCACAAUGGGCCUAUCACAGCCCUCGCCCUGUGGAGUUGUGUGAAGCUCUAGGAACAGUGGCUGCCACCUGCUAAAGGGAGCUUUCACUGUUACUUGCAACCAGAAGAGCCCAUCUAAUGAGGUGAAGUAAGCACGAAGGAGGGGGCUCACCAGCAAACUUGAUGGAUGUGAUGGAGGAAGAGUGGUCAUCCAGGGUCUGCUCCAGGUUGUAGUUCUUCUCCACGUUCAGCACGUGGAUCAGUCGGUCCCGACUGGCCGAGGCCAGCAAGGUGAGCCCUGUGAGUGGAGAGGAUGGCCCUCGGUUCCUGAGAGGCUGCUUGAUGCCUUGAUUUCCCUUGGAGAGCAGUGUGACCAAGCUUUCUAGGCCUUGAAGAAGUAGCCUUUGGUUCCAUAGCUGCAGCCCACUUACCCCAGAAAGGGACCACUCCUCUAGCUGUGUUGUCUUUCCUCAGAGCCCCCAAACCUGGCAUCUGACAUACUAUGCCUCCAGUGGAGGGGUGAUGAAUCUCGUACACACAGACGUUCCUACGCUUGUGUCCACAGCAGAUGUGCUAGCAAAGCCCAGCACUUCUUCCUGCCAAGCCCACCUCUGUGGUAUGCCAUGUGAAGUCCUGCCAACUUCUCAGUCUCCGAAAAACACUGUCCCUUCACUCACUAAGUUCUAGCUACACAGGCCUCAUUCAAGCCCUGCUACCACUUGCUGCCACUGGGCCUUCCCUGCUGGCCACUCAAACAGUGCCUGCUCCUGUCACCUGGUAUGUCUGAGGUCUAACAUACAACCUGAGGAGAAGGGGAGCUCAGGUAAGGUGUACUGAAUGAAAAGAGAGUUUUUAAAAAUUUGUCGGGGCAAAGAGCACAGGGGAGGGAAGAUGGAAAGAAGAGCAUGGGAGAUCAUUAACAUAUCAGGACGUCACUCCACCUACAUCCUAUUCCUGCCAAACAUGUACCAUCAGAAUCAAAGCAUGAGGAAAACACACCGACAAACCUAAAUUGAAGGAAAUCCUGUAAAAUGACUGGUCUAUAUUCUGCACGAAGCCAAAGUCAUAAAGACAAAGCUGUGGAAAUAUUCCAGAAUGAAGGUGACAAGAGAGCCAUGGCAAAUAAAGCAUGAAUCUGGACUGGAAAAACAGCGGUGCCAUAUUGGACCGUAAGGACAAGAGAGGUGACAAUAUGGUAUCAAAGUAAAAUCCCCAUGUUUGGUAAGUGCACUAUGGUCAUGUAAAUGGCUAUCCUCCUUCCUAGGAAAUGCUCGCAGGGGUAUUUCUGGAUGAAAGGGCAUCAUGCCUGCAACUUACCUCACCCAUUCAACAUUUACCUCUAGCCUGAGCACUGUUUGGGGUGCUGGGGACCAAGGUAAGCAAGUCAAGCUGAGUCCUGCCAGCAGGUGUCUUACCUUCUGGAGUCCCAGCCACCUCGGUGCCAGGGCCCAGCAACAGGAGCCCUUACUAAACAUAGGACUUGGACUUCCAGCUGUCAUUCACAGUCCCACCAGACACCAACUAUCCAUCUCUGCAGCUCGGCCAGUGGAGGCUACUCCCCUGCCCUUCCCCCGGCCGCCCUGCAGGGGCUCACCUGUCUCAGGCUUGGAGUACUCCAGGCACAGCACCUCAGCAUCAUGGGCCUCUACCUUGACCAGCUCGUCCAUGAAGUGCAGCUCGUGGAUCCUGCAAGACAUAUGCUUCCUGCUGUACCCUGUCCGGAGCACCCCCCACCGCCUCUGCCCAGAUGCUCUGCCACUGCUAGAAAAGGACAGAGCAGCCAGGGAGAGUCAGGGCUGCUAUCCAUGUUCCAGAAGCGGAUGGUGUUGUCUGAGGAACAAGUCAGAAAAGAUCCUGAUGGCAGGCAAGCUCUCUGAUCUUCAAACUCAGGAUACACCUACAGUUCCCAGAGAACAAGACAAAGGAAAUACACACUGACAUAUUUAGAAGUACAGGAGCAUCACAUCCACAACUUAUUCUUAAACGGUUCAGCAAGAAUUAAUAUGUCAUCAGAGAAUGAUAAAGCAAAUGUGGUAAACUGUUAACAUGUAUGAAAGGCAUACAAGCGUUUUUCCUACUGUU